GGGUAUAUAGUUCAGUGGCAGAGCAUAUGUUUGGCAUGUAUGAGGUCCUGGGUUCAAUCCCCAAUACCUCCA
rnacentral:tRNA from 1 species